rnacentral:pre_miRNA from 1 species
UAUUAAAAAAUUGAUCUAUUUAUAUCGUUAAAAAUUGUUGUGAUUAAUAGAAUAACUAGAAAGUACACGUGGUACACUAUAUGUACCAUAUACUGAUGUACAAAAUCUAAUUUUUAACAAUAGAAAUCGAUAAAAUUUUCAACC